rnacentral:lncRNA from 1 species
UGGGGUCUCUGCAGCUUUUCCAGGAGGGCUGUCUGCCCGGGUGAAGACACUUCGUCUCAGCUGUUGUUUUAGGACCGUGGGCCCUGGGGCCCAGGACAGCAGGAAGGCGGGUCCCAGUCUCCUUCUGAUGGCUCCAUCUGCACUCGAACAGAAUUUUAACACUGGCCUAAAUGAUGGUGAGAAAUGAACUCCUGGUUGCCGACCAAACUUCCCCUUCUCAUCCCGACGACGCGGGAUGUAGGGUAG